UUGUCUCAAAGAUUAAGCCAUGCAUGUCUCAGUACAAGCCGAAUUAAGGUGAAACCGCGAAAGGCUCAUUAAAUCAGUUAUGGUUCCUUAGAUCGUACCCACAUUUACUUGGAUAACUGUGGUAAUUCUAGAGCUAAUACAUGCAAACAGAGCUCCAACCGGAAACGGAAGGAGCGCUUUUAUUAGAUCAAAACCAAUCGGUGGCGGUUUCGCCGUCAUCGUACAACUUGGUGACUCUGAAUAACUUUAAGCUGAUCGCACGGUCUCGCACCGGCGACGCAUCUUUCAAAUGUCUGCCUUAUCAACUGUCGAUGGUAGGUUCUGCGCCUACCAUGGUUGUAACGGGUAACGGGGAAUCAGGGUUCGAUUCCGGAGAGGGAGCCUGAGAAACGGCUACCACAUCCAAGGAAGGCAGCAGGCGCGCAAAUUACCCACUCCCGGCACGGGGAGGUAGUGACGAAAAAUAACGAUACGGGACUCAUCCGAGGCCCCGUAAUCGGAAUGAGUACACUCUAAACCCUUUAACGAGGAUCAAUUGGAGGGCAAGUCUGGUGCCAGCAGCCGCGGUAAUUCCAGCUCCAAUAGCGUAUAUUAAAGUUGUUGCGGUUAAAAAGCUCGUAGUCGAAUCUGUGUCCCGCGCCGCCGGUUCAUCGUUCGCGGUGUUAACUGGCGUGUCGCGGGACGUCCUGCCGGUGGACUUAGCUCGAGAGGGCGGUCCAACUCAAUCCCGCCGCGGUGCUCUUCAUUGAGUGUCGAGGUGGGCCGGCACGUUUACUUUGAACAAAUUAGAGUGCUUAAAGCAGGCUAAAACUUCGCCUGAAUACUGUGUGCAUGGAAUAAUGGAAUAGGACCUCGGUUCUAUUUUGUUGGUUUUCGGAACCCCGAGGUAAUGAUUAAUAGGAACGGAUGGGGGCAUUCGUAUUGCGACGUUAGAGGUGAAAUUCUUGGAUCGUCGCACGACG
rnacentral:rRNA from 1 species